CUAACACAGUGCUUUCCUAUUUAUCUCUACUGCCUGUUUCUGGAAUGGUUUCUAAGUUCUUUGAAUGUAGGUACCUUGUCUUCAUAUCCAUAGCUUUUUGCACAUUACCUUCCAUGUACUAGGCCCUCAAUAAAGACAUGAUGAUGAUGAUGAUGAUGAUGAUGAUGAUGAUGAUUUCUACCCAAUAAAAAUCAAGGAAAGGAGGAUGGAUUCAAGUAGGAGGUUUCCAGAAAGCUCUAAGGGAGAAGACCAAGAAGAUAAAUAAAAAAAGAAGAUAAAUCAAAGCCAUACAUUUGAAUUUGAGGAUUAUACACAAUACGUUCACAACUUUAUGCAAGACUUUCCGUAAGUAACGCUGCAUUUUAAAAUCCUAGAAUCUGAAUAUCUGUGAUGAUUUGUCUUUUGACCUCACAGAACAAGAAAAGAACAUUCAACCAGGAAAGGUUAUACUGAUAAUAAAGUUCUUAAAUUUGAAAAUGUCAUCUUCUCCCUUUGUACAGGCCUUUAUACAGUGUCCUAAGAGGAUUCAUUAUGAGAAUAAUGUCAAUCACAGCUUUAACACCUUAGUAUGGAAGGAGCUAAUGAGAAAGCACAUUGGAAGAGACUAUGACAGUGGUAUGGAUGGCAGCAGCUUCAGCACUGAAGAAACCAGAUGUUUCCAAGGCAUUUCAAUUGUUAGAAGUGACCAACUUUGGGUUUAUUAUGAGAGGUCAACCUGCACCUGAAGAAUAAGAAUUGCCUCCAUUUCCUUGGCUGUGUACCACCAUGAUCACCAAAUAAAACAACCACUCAAUGAAAAAAACUAUGGAAA
rnacentral:lncRNA from 12 species